AGUAACCUACGGGGGGCAGCAGUGGGGAAUAUUGGGCAAUGGGGGCAACCCUGACGCAGCAACGCCGCGUGAUUGAAGAAGGCCUUCGGGUUGUAAAGAUCUUUAAUCGGGGACGAAUUUUGACGGUACCCGAAGAAUAAGCUCCGGCUAACUACGUGCCAGCAGCCGCGGUAAUACGUAGGGAGCAAGCGUUAUCCGGAUUUAUUGGGUUUAAAGGGUGCGUAGGCGGGAUGCCAAGUCAGCGGUCAAAUACGGGGGCUCAACCUGCGUCCGCCGUUGAAACUGGCGUUCUUGAGUGGGCGAGA
rnacentral:rRNA from 1 species